rnacentral:rRNA from 1 species
GUGUGCCUACGGGGGGCAGCAGUGGGGAAUAUUGCGCAAUGGGCGAAAGCCUGACGCAGCGACGCCGCGUGAGGGAUGAAGGUCUUCGGAUCGAAAACCUCUGUCAGCAGGGAAGAGCGGUCACUGUGCUAAUCAGCAGUGAAUUGACGGUACCUGCAAAGGAAGCACCGGCUAACUCCGUGCCAGCAGCCGCGGUAAUACGGAGGGUGCGAGCGUUAAUCGGAAUUACUGGGCGUAAAGCGAUCGUAGGCGGGAUGGCAAGUCAAGGGGGAA